ensembl:lncRNA novel transcript
UGCGGACGGGCAGCCGGUUGGGCUGGGCCCGGAAGGGUGUGCAGUAGAGCAAGAGGAGGAAGUGGAGGGAAAGGAACCAGAUGCUUCUGAGACAGGCUACCAUCUCUGCGUGCAGUCCCCGCGGAAUUUACGCACUUUCGUCUUGUGCUCUUAGAUGUUCUCCAGGUAGACUGCAACCAACACCUUUAGAAUAAACCCACCUGUGCUUGGGCCAGCCUGAGAGGUCUUCAUUCCUUGCUGUCCAGAAAACCUUCAAAGGCUGCAGCAUAACCAGCUUCUAACAUUGUCCACUGGAGCAGAGACUUUGGGAGCCGAGGUGAAGAUGGCGCAACUACCAGAGGGAGAGCUGGAUUCUAGAGUCCCCACUUGCUUGCCUGGAAGGAGAUCUGCUCAGAACUGCCAGGAUGUCAGAACACGGCUCUGUACGAGCUCCUGAGAUCCAGGGCUGUAGUUGUGAGAAUUUGUCCUAAUGCCUCUGGUCUUUGCCUGUGCUUCAGCUUAUUUGGGGGAACAAAACCAAUCUGAUUGCUCUCAACAUCCAGUUGUCACUGAUUGGGUUCAAGGAAAUUAUUUUAUCUUCAGAAAACAUUUUGUUAUUUGAAGCAGCUAUAUAAGUGAGAUAAAUAUAUUUGAUACAUAUGUACAGAUUUAUAUAUAUAUAGCACCAAACAUACAUAUAUAUUAUAUAUAUAUAUUUCAUAUAAGCGUACAUAUGCCUUCCGGUCUCUGAAAAGUGAGAGGAAAAUAGGAAACUAAUAAUAUUUGACCCCUGUAUCAUUCAGGGCCCUGGUUUGAACAAUGCACUGAAAGUGCUUCUGGAAGAGGACUUAAGGAAGGCACUAUUUACAAAGGUGUGGACAGAAUUAAGGGAAGCCAACGGGGUGGUGAAACACACAAGGCUGAGUAACAGGGGAAGCCUUCCAGCCCCCAGUGGGACCUGUCAAUGGGAGGGCCAGGUCACUGGAGCCUGAGUGAUGGUAGAAGGGCCACCCAGGAGAAGCCGUGUCCCUUGGUGGAGGGACACAGUCACUUCCAACGUGUGGCCCAAAGUUGCAGGGGGCGGGUCUGGGAAGCAGAGUUGUAAGUAUCCUGAUCUUUCUCAUCUUCUGCUCUCUGAUCUCCUUGGUGCCUCCCGUUCAUCAACCCAAUCUGGAUGCUGGAAGACAGGGGGUUUAAUUCAUGCAGUAUUUGAAUAUUACAUCCCUGAGAUGCAGGGUAGGGUGGAGAAAAGCUGAGGGUGGACUUGGAGGGGCGCAAGAAGAACACCCAGUUCAGCCUCUCACAGAAGUCUUUGACCUUGAAGGAGACCUGCUCCACCAUUACACUUUCCCCUCAGUGAUCAUGUUUGGCAGGUGUAUUAGUCUAUUCUCAUACUGCUAAUAAAGACAUACCCAAUAUUUGGUAAGUUAUAAAGGAAA